AAUUAUCAGACUUUCUAAGCUUCCAGCCAGGAAUUGAGGCCUGAGCAUAGAAACGGAAGACGCAGAGAUUUCAGCACUCUUCCUCUGGAAAACCCACUCAGGAGAACUUUUGUCCUAUAACGUUUUAGUCUGGAAGUCUUUCUCCACACUCUGCUCUCUCUUAUCUGCACAGCUUAACUAGUCUGCAGAUGAGCUACAUCAAAAACAAUAACAGCUAAUGUGGCUGAGAGAAUGCAGUCGUCUGAAAUAUUAUGAAAACAGAGGAAACAGAAGAGGUUGUUUAUGGCCCAUUCUUGCCCAACUGAUCACCGCAACAAACACAUACAUUUUUUUCGCUUUCCUCUUAAAUAUUCUUCCACAAACACUAUUUGCCAUGAUUGAUCAACAUCUAAUAUUAAGUGGGAGGAAAACGGUUGCUUGUUGCUCCCAACUGUCUCUGAUUUCAAAGCCUGUCCAGGUCAAUCGGCUUUAAUGCUGCGUUCAUUCUCAUGUGGGGUUUCCAUGACCAUUUGCUCCUUAGAGUUUAGCUAAUCAAGAGGUAGCUAGGUUCACAUCGGUAAUGGAAGAAAGGCUCCACUGAAUCUUUUUAGUCUAUUAUAUGUCUAUGCUAUUUAUUUUUAAUUGUACUAAGGCUCUUCGAAGAGCUGGGAAUUACCUUUUUGAGGAUCUCAUAAUUUUAAAAGCCGAUGUUUGGAAUGUAGCCCCCUCCUCUCUUUUCCUGACCUUUAUCUCUAUCAACUCACCCAAAUUAGAAGCUAAGAAUCAUCCAGGGAGCCAGCUGUAUAAGGAGCAGAUGCGAAGGAGGAUGCUCACUGAACGUGAGCUGGCUUAUACCCAACACCCAAUCCCACUGGAUUCAAGGGUGUAGGUGGCAGGGGACUUGGCGAUCCUCUAGGGUAUGGGGCCUUUUCCCGAAGUACAGGACUUAAAUUACUUGCAGGGAGAGUAAUUAACAUUAACUAUCCCUUAAGAAAAUGAAUAAGGACAUUUUUACUUCCCAAAGGUCUGCUGAGUGCUUUGAUAUGAUAAUAUACACAGAAAAAUGUUAGAAAGAACACAGAACCCCCUAAAAGAAUUAUGUACAUACCCCCUGAGAGGUCAUCAUUUUCUAGGGCCCUGUUUAGUGCUCAAAAAUCCCCCUCACUGAUGUUCAAAACAGACUUUAGAAAUACAACCUCACCACUAAAAAGAUGCAGAAACAAAGGGAACUGCAGAUCAAAUGAUUUAUGUGAAAUCGUAUAGCAAAUGGAAGGUGACAUUCGAUCUGAAUCUGAAUAUCUCUGGCUCCACAUUUUAUUUACUUAACCAAGAUUUAAAAAUGAAGUGUGUCCAGGAGUUCCCGCUGUGGUGCAGUGGGUUAAGAAUUUGACUGUAGCAGUUCAGUUCGCUGCAGAGGGGCAGAUGUGAUCUCUGAUCCAGCACCGGUGGGUUCAAGGAUGUGGCCUUGCUGCAGCUGUGGUGUAGGCUGAAGCUGUGACUCAUAUUUAAUCCCUAGCCCGGGAACAUCCAUAUGCAGUGGGUGUGGCCACAAAAUUAAAAUAUCAUUUAAAAAAAGNGAUUAAAGUGGAUACGCUUUCUUAUACAAAGUGUUACGUUCUGUCUGUUAUAGGGGACCAUGUCCAAUGUGACAACAGGACCCUUUGUAAUCUGGUCUCUGUUACUCUUUUGGCAUCGUUUACUGCUACACAGAAGAAAAAAAAGGCUCUGACGAGAUUCUGUUUCAUGUUUUUGCUUUGCCCUCUAAUACUUUCCCCAUUUCCCUCACCCAUGUCCUCUCAUUUCCCACUCAUUUUUAAAUUACGUUUAUGCUUUAUAUUUGUAGAUAAUCCGGAUGCUUCUGUCCUCUCGUUUAUCACAUCAGCAAAUAUUUUUAAAUGGCUAUGGCUAUAGCAUGCGGCCACACAGGUCAUCAUCUCUGUAAUCCUGGGGACAGCAAUCCCACAGGCUCUGACACCAAUGGUUUCUGGGUCAGAGAGGCCAUUUUUUGGCUCAUUUACGUAACAGCACUCCAGGCUUCCGCUUGUGCUACCAAAGAGACCUCCUAUGACCAAGCUGCUGGUCUCACUUGGAAUUCCUAUUCACGAUAUCAAGUGAGCCCCUCGUAUCACGAAUAAUUCCAAAGUCUCUUCCUGUCUCAGUUUCCUUAAAAUUAACUUAGAUGUGCUCUCAAUGAAAGCCUCUGCCACUCUUCCCCCAAGCCCACCCUUAGACGAAACCUAGAUUCCAAUUUCACUGACAAAAAAGAAGCCAGAGAGGAUCCCAUUGACAUGUCUGCCCACCCAUCUGCCUCUGAGGCCAAGCGUUACUGCUGACUGUCUGCUGCUAUGAAUGACCUGUCUUGGUCCUUGGACCUGUGUGUGAUGCAGCCUACCCUGUCUUGCAAACCAACUGCUGUGCUCUGGACAUUUCGUGCGCUUUCUCUUGGGUAAUUCUCACUGUCCCUCUGUGGUUUCAUAGUGGAUGCAUGAUAUCUAGGUAAGGUAAGCUUUAAAACCGAUCUGUCUUUGACCCAAAGAAAGUGAGAAUUUGGGAAACGGGGCAGUGGUAAACACCAGGAUAUUCACAAAGAGCACGAGAGGAAGAGAUACGUGGGGUCACACAGACUGGGGUCUGUCUUGAUGAGGAACUCAAGGACACAAUUCCCAGCUCGAAUGGGAAGGGUAGGUGAGCAGGACGAGGCAGACGGGACGGCAGAUGCGGGACGUCUCCUGUCCUGGGUUUCCAAGGAGGAGAAAGGCGGCUGGGUGAAAACCAAAUGGGCUGUGUUAAGAGCCAACACCGAGGGAGUUACGUGUCCUUCUCCACUCUGAGCCCAAUGCUAUUUUAAAAUAUGCAAGUGUAUAGAACUAGAAAGUAACUUCAGUCAUGGGAUAAAAAGUAGAGUAUUAUGAUGAAUGCAGUAAGUUUAAUCUCUUAUAUGCAGGUUGUCCCCAACCUAGUGAUUUGACUUAAAACUUUUUGACUUUACAGGGAUGCAAAAGUGACACACAUUCACUAGAAAUAGUGCUUUGAAUUUUGAAUUUUGCUUUUUUCCCAGGCCAGCCACAUACGGUAAGAUACUCUCUCCUGAUUCUGGGCAGCAGCACUGAGCCGUAGCUCCCAGUCAACCUGCACUAAAAAGGGCAACCAACCUGCACACUCACAAAACCAUUCUAUUUCCCACUUUCUGUACAGUAGUCAAUAAAUUUCAGGAAAUAGUCGACACUCAAUUAUAAAAUGGGCUUUUUGUGUUAGAUGAUUUUGCCCAACUUUAGGCCAAUGUAAUCGUUCUGAGAACAUUGAAGGGAGGCGAGGCCACGCGGUGGUGUUCAGUAGGUUGGAUGUAUUAAAUGCCUUUUUGACGUUUGCUAUUUUUACCUUACUGGUGAGUUUAUCAGGAUGCAACCCAUUGUAAAUUGAGGAAGAUCUGUACAGGGUUUCAGACCAAUUACGAUAACUAGCCAUGGAUCACGCAUCUCAGUUUUGAGAGACAGUGACCUGAACCCAGGAGAGAAGAAACAGCAAAAUCUCCAAUUAUGUGUUUGUGUGUGUGUGUGAUUGUCACAUAGUUUUCUGUUUCUACAUUGUUUUAAGAGCAUUUAGAACAUUAUCUAUAUUAAGUAAGUUCUCUUGAUGUGUUUGAUAAACAGAUCAAUAAACCACUAUGAGUAAUACAGGGCAUUUCAGUGCACUGAUUCAGCAUUGCUUUUACAGAUUUAUAAACUUCUAGAAUCUCUAAGAAAUGGAGUAAAAAGAUAUCUUCUUCAUAUUUUUUCUUUUCUUGUUGAUGGAGACAAAAUAGCUGGUUAUACAUUCCGUUAUAGUCGUCCUUGAGAAAUAGAUGGCAGCACGCCAAGAUUAAAGCGUAUGUCUAAUUCUCUUGCCUUUGUUUCAAAGCUUUUUGUAAAGCUGCUCGUGCUAUUAAUAUAUUUUUUCCUGUGGGAAAGGUACCGAACCUCCAGAACGACUGGAUUCUGUUUCCCUUAUUCUUCUCUGACUUCAGACUAAGAGAUCCAUCUGCAUUUCUCAUGAGGAGGAGCAGGUUUCUCUCUUGCGUGAGGAAAGAGAGCACUGAAAUUCCCUUGGUUCUUACUAUUUCAGACCUAUUGAAUCUCAUAGGAAACCACCGAGCCCAGAAAGAAAAUUGAGAAAAGUCGUCUUAAAGGACAAAAUAAAGUCUGUUGUCUUAUAUCCUAAAAUACCGAUGAUUCAUGAUGUUAUAGCUCCACUAUCAUGAGCUACAUGCAGCGAGGCUUUUCCCAGUUUUGUCUGUCCUCAAAAGGAUACAGAAUUUUGCUGUAAUGAGUCCAAGGACUCUACCAGCAUUUGUGAAGCCCAGUCUAAGCAUCAUGAUCGUUCUUCUACCAAAAGCUCUGUAACGUAUACAGUUGAUGUAUUUCUUCAGGAAACCUCCAGUGUCCAGCGUCCAGAGACUAUCAUGCCUAAGAGUUUCUCACCUACUAAACUAACCUUACCUGCUAGUGGAAGCACUGAGUUCCUACUAAGCAAAAGUGUCUGGGGCUGAUACUGUGACCCACGUGUCUUAUUAUUUUCUCUGCCUGGAACGCACUCAGCAUUCAGAGAGCUGGAAAACAGCUGCCUGCCCACUUGUUUUCCUAUGGGCGGAAAGGCUGAAAAGGGCCAGCUAAAGAGACAGCGUCUUAGGGGAGUACAUGGCAAUAGACAAAAAACUUCUGAUGUCAAGUCCCCUCUGGGGCUUCUGAUCUCCUUUGCUUGGUGUCCAGGCCGUGGAAAAUACCCGACACAACAAAGAUCUGUGCUUGGGACUCACACAGGAAGAACCUCUGAGCAUCAGGGAAAACAGCUGUUUCAGGCACAUACAGAACAAACAGAGCAGAAGUACUGGAUCCACUCACAGACGAUUAUCAAGGGACCAUUUACGCCGAAUCCACAGUCCAGGACUUCCUAACCCACAUACAUAAUACAUCACUAGUAUAAAGCUUAAAAUUGCAACUCGAGCAUUGAUGCCUUAUUGACAGAAAUAAGGCAGCAACGAUUCCUACUGCAUAAAUCACACAUUUCCCAACACCACACUUGCAAGAGAAAAAAGAAGGGAGCCUUCUGGGAUGAUAAGAUGCCUUUUAUUAUGACUGUAGAGCGGGCUACGUGGGCUAUGCAUGUGUUCAACUUUCUUAACUGUCCAUUUAAGGCUUGUUCAUUUCACUGCAUGUCAUUGGACUUCAGAAAAAUGAAUGCAUAAGAAAUGCAAUAGUCUAAAAUUUCUUAAAAAUGCAGCAAGACAGUGGUUUCCUAAUGACGGAUGUAACACACUUACAUUAUCUGAGAAGAAGAAGAAACGAUUGAGAAAGGGCAUCCCUGGAGUUGAUCUGGGACAAUAAAUGUAAACGUCGAAUGGCUCAAGAAGAUGCAGGUGGAUGGGGCACGGAAAUAGAAAUUUCAGCAUUUUUUCAGCUGGUCUUUCUUUUUUUCAUCAUGUAAUUGCCGCCUGAGUGAAUUUACCCAUAGAGACCUCGCCAUGACCAUCACUUUAUAUGUUAAAGAUAUGUGAAUAUUCACCUUAGCUGAGAUGUUCUCCCUCAGAACCUACACAAUUUAAUGCUCUACAUGACUUUCUAACCUACCAUGUCCAAGGUACUGUCAUUAACGUAGCCCUCAAAUUACCCCUUUCCCGAAUUCCUUACAACAAGACAAUAGUGCCAAAGAUGUAGAGUAUUCCAAAACAGAAAAACACCCUACCUACAGGUAAAGUCUACAGUAACUGAUAACUGGUAUACAGACUCCUUUUUGGAUGGCCUCCAAGAAAAGAAAUAUUUCAUGGUUCUCAGAUGAUAUUUUUUUUUUUUAAAGAAGAGAAAUGCCUAGCUGGGAGAUUGGAGAAAUCAGAAGAAAAUGAACAAAGAAGGAAGAUAGUCCUAGAUAUUCAGACAAUAAAACGGGGCAGCAUUUAGACUCUGUGGAUAAAAGAUUCCAAGUUUUGUGUCUUGAUAGUGGUUCCAAGUCAGCUGCUCAAAGAGGAAGACUACCUGCACAGAGAAACCUGGUAGGUUGAUAGUUUUUCCUACUAAAUACCAAAUCUGGAACAUGUGAACUACAUUUCAGCUGUCAACAGAAUCCAGCGUAUUAUUUUAGUUUAUAAAAUAUCCCAACUCUAUUAAAACUAAAAACUACUGAUGCUCUAACAUCAGUGUUGGUGCCUUCACAAAAAUUCAUGUUUAUGAGUUUAUUAAUUUAUUUUUGUUUUUGUUUGUUUCCCUUGAGGAGAACUCCUUUCUUAAUUUGUUUAGUCUUUGUGUAUUAUUAAUCCUAUUCAUUUCUCUCAAGCCCUUAAUUUGAUAUAAUCAGACUAGAGGUACAAUAUCUAUUAGCUGUUCUAAAAAAAAAAAUCACAGCCACAUAGAUGACUCAAGAUUCUUUCAAAUUGCCUAAACUGUAAAAUUCAGUAUUUAGAUCUCAGAUAACUUCCCUUUUUUUGGGGGGGGGGAUGCACUGCAGGAGGAGGUAUCUCACUUAAAAGUUUUUCUUCCUUCUACCUACGGUUCAUUCCCAAUUGUACCUACCUCCAAAAGCUACAUAGUUAGAGUGAUAUUAACAACCUCAUCACCAACAUUUACCAAAUGAAACAGCUAAAAUAAGUUGUUGAGGUAGAAUCCUGAGAUACUGUAGACAUAUGGUGAGUAAUUUGCAGAUGGAAAAUGCAAUUCAGGUUAUGGGA
rnacentral:lncRNA from 1 species